CUCAGGGAGGUAGUGACAAGAAAUAACAACACUGGAAAUUUUAUUUCUAGUGAUUGGAAUGAUGGGAAUUUAAACCCCUUUCAGAGUAACAAUUGGAGGGCAAGUCUGGUGCCAGCAGCCGCGGUAAUUCCAGCUCCAAUAGCGUAUAUUAAAGUUGUUGCAGUUAAAAAGCUCGUAGUUGGAUGUCUGCUGGAAGCAAUCGGUCCGCCCUAUUUGUAGGGUGUGCACUUGAUGAAUUCUGGCAUCUUUAUCCCAUUAAUUAAUGAUCGUGGGUGAGAGCUUCAUCAUAGCUCUCCACCGACGUUAUUAUUUUUGGGAUACUGUUACUUUGAGAAAAUUAGAGUGUUUGAAGCAGGCUAAUGAUUGCCUUGAAUACUGCAGCAUGGAAUAACAAUAUAGGAUUUUGGUUCUAUUUUGUUGGUUUGUAGGACUGAAAUAAUGGUUAAUAGGGACAGUUGGGGGCAUUCGUAUUUAACUGUCAGAGGUGAAAUUCUUAGAUUUGUUAAAGACGAACUACUGCGAAAGCAUUUGCCAAAGAUGUUUUCAUUAAUCAAGAACGAAAGUUAGGGGCUCGAAGACGAUCAGAUACCGUCGUAGUCUUAACCAUAAACUAUGCCGACUAGAGAUAGGAAAUUGUCAUUUUGCUGACUU
rnacentral:rRNA from 1 species